rnacentral:rRNA from 1 species
GACGAACGCUGGCGGCGUGCUUAACACAUGCAAGUCGAACGGAAAGGCCCUGCUUUUGUGGGGUGCUCGAGUGGCGAACGGGUGAGUAACACGUGAGUAACCUGCCCUUGACUUUGGGAUAACUUCAGGAAACUGGGGCUAAUACCGGAUAGGAGCUCCUGCUGCAUGGUGGGGGUUGGAAAGUUUCGGUGGUUGGGGAUGGACUCGCGGCUUAUCAGCUUGUUGGUGGGGUAGUGGCUUACCAAGGCUUUGACGGGUAGCCGGCCUGAGAGGGUGACCGGGCACAUGGGGACUGAGAGACGGCCCAGAGUGCAACGGGAGGCAACAGUGGGGAGUAUUGCACAAUGGGAGGAAGCCUGAUGAAGCAACGCCGCGUGCGGGAUGACGGCCUUCGGGUUGUAAACCGCUUUCGCCUGUGACGAAGCGUGAGUGACGGUAAUGAGUAAAGAAGCACCGGCUAACUACGUG